AUGCUUUCACAACUUGACUUCAAAAUAUUUGGUUUGGAGACCAUCAAAGAUCAAUAUGUGCAUGAUGCUGAUUUUAAAGAUGUAAUGCAGAAUUGUAAAGAAGGAAGAAUGUGGAACAAGUUUGUCGUUAACGAUGGAUUUGUGUUUCGUGCUAACAAGCUAUGCAUUCCAGCUAGCUCCGUUCGUCUUUUGUUGUUGCAGGAGGCGCAUGGAGGAGGAUUAAUGGGACACUUUGGCGUGAAGAAGACGGAGGACGUACUUGCUACACAUUUCUUUUGGCCAAAGAUGAGACGGGAUGUUGAGCGGGCUGUUUUGAAGAAUAAUAAGAAAAUGUGGGAGGAAUGCUUGCCUCAUAUUGAAUUUGCUUAUAAUCGUUCAUUGCAUUCUACUACUAAGAUGUGCCCUUUUGAAGUUGUGUAUGGUUUCCUACCUCAUGCACCUAUUGAUUUGUUGCCUCUUCCAUCUUCGGAGAAGGUUAAUUUUGAUGCUAAACAACGUGCUGAAUUGAUUUUAAAAAUGCAUGAGUUAACUAAGGAAAACAUUGAGCGCAUGAAUGCUAAAUAUAAACUUGCGGGAGAUAAGGGUAGAAAACAUGUUGUGUUUGCACCUGGAGAUCUUGUUUGGUUACAUUUGCGUAAGGAUAGAUUUCCUGAUUUGCGCAAAUCAAAGUUAGUGUCACGUGCUGAUGGUCCCUUUAAGGUGUUAGAGAAAAUAAAUGAUAAUGCAUAUAAACUUGAGCUGCCUGCAGAUUUUGGGGUUAGUCCCACUUUUAACAUUGCAGAUUUGAAGCCUUAUUUGGGUGAGGAAGAUGAACUUCCGUCGAGGACGACUUCAUUUCAAGAAGGGGAGGAUGAUGAGGACAUCAAUACAAUUGUUACACCCACAGCCCCUGCUGCUAUACAUACUGGACCAAUUACUAGAGCUCGUGCACGCCAACUAAAUUACCAGGAAAAAGACCCUCGUGGUCAGGUUGAUCGUGCUCCGGCGUGGUCAAUAACCUCUCGGAGUUGGUUUAGCGAUUGCUAA
rnacentral:rRNA from 1 species